GGCCCGGCUAGCUCAAUCGGUAGAGCGUGAGACUCUUAUGGGUUGUUUGCACCAUUCUCAGAUCGUUUCCCGAAGAAACCCAGGUUCGAUUCCUGGGACGCCCA